rnacentral:rRNA from 1 species
AACGGAGAUUAUACGCAGAGGCGAUUUCGGUCAAAUCAUGUAAAAUCUUAGUGGCGGACGGGUGAGUAACGCGUGGGUAACCUGCCUUACACUGGGGGAUAACACUUAGAAAUAGGUGCUAAUACCGCAUAAGCGCACGAAGCCGCAUGGAUUUGUGUGAAAAACUCCGGUGGUGUAAGAUGGACCCGCGUCUGAUUAGCUUGUUGGCGGGGUAACGGCCCACCAAGGCGACGAUCAGUAGCCGGCCUGAGAGGGUGGACGGCCACAUUGGGACUGAGACACGGCCCAAACUCCUACGGGAGGCAGCAGUGGGGGAUAUUGGACAAUGGGGGGAACCCUGAUCCAGCGACGCCGCGUGAGUGAAGAAGUAUUUCGGUAUGUAAAGCUCUGUCAGCAGGGAAGAAAGAAAUGACGGUACCUGACCAAGAAGCCCCGGCUAACUACGUGCCAGCAGCCGCGGUAAUACGUAGGGGGCAAGCGUUAUCCGGAAUUACUGGGUGUAAAGGGAGCGUAGACGGUUAAGUAAGUCUGGAGUGAAAGGCCGGGGCCCAACCCCGGGACUGCUCUGGCAACUAUUCAACUUGAGUGCAGGAGAGGUAAGCGGAAUUCCUAGUGUAGCGGUGAAAUGCGU